rnacentral:lncRNA from 1 species
CCCCCUCUCCUGCAGGGGGGCAAUGCAGCGGCGGAGGAAAUCUGCCCCGAUAGCACCUACAAUGAGCCCGGCAAGCCUGAGGCGAAGAAUCCUAGUGAUGGCGAUCUUCAGCCUCUCGUCUUCCGGGGCCACGUUGCUCCAGUCGUCGCUGCACACUAUUGGAGUUUGGCGCACGACGGUGAAGGGCUGCGGAUUCUCCUCGAUGAUCCAGCACCACUCUGCUCUCCACUCCUCCCACUUGCUGCGGAGCUCACCAUCCAAGUAUGCCUCCUUCUUGCCGACUCUCGAGACCCAGGCAAUCCCUCCGGCAAGCGACUCUCCUCUCUCUACCCGAGGAAUGAAAUAGUGGCGGAAAAGGGCAACACUAGGGUGGACUUCGACAAAGUUUUCGCACAAGUGUGCGAAAACUGCCAUGGUCAGGACAGCAUUAGGGGUGAAGUCAAGGAGGCGGAAGCCAUAUGUGUUCAUAAUGUCACAGAAGAACUCCGAGAAGGGCGGGCAGAGCCCGCAAUAGAAGAACAGUGGGAAGAACGGGUACCCAUUUGGAGCCAGCUUCGAAGCGAUAGCCGGGAGUACCCUCGUGCGCGGAUGCACACGCGUCUCCGUCGCCCAAAAGAGGUAGAAGUACUCCCUCAGCUCCUGCACGCCGAGCAGGGGGGUGAAGAUCACCCGCUCCUUCCGCAGCGCCGCGAGCCGCUGCGCCUCGGCCGACUUCACACCCUUUCCCUUGUCGGCUUUCGGGCCCAUGGCGGAGGUGGUGGAGAAGGUCGACGGCGUGGUGAUGCUGGUGGCAAUGGGGGGGCGGAGCGCUGCUCUCUCGGAUUCGAGAAGAAGGGGGGAGCGGCGGAGUUUGUGAAGAAGGAUUAGCAGCAACCAGCGAGGGGGAACGAACUGCCCCUGUUUCCUCUGCUUAUAAAGAGGGACGGGGCGGACGUUUCGCCCUUCCUAAUAAACAACCACCCACGAUCUCCCCCACGAUGCUGCAUUCAACGCGUGCCGUUAUGGGGGAGCGCGGUGGAUACGGAGCGAGAUUUGGUGUAGCCCAGCCCGCGUGUGCCCGUGCACUGUCUUGGGCCUGGCCCAACAGUGCUCGGCACCGUGUCUGGCCCAGGCCCGGGGGCUCCUGUCGGUGUACUAGAAUAGGGGUACCCUAGUACCCCGAACUUGUGCACGGGCAGUUGCAGCACCCCGCGGCAAGGCUUGCCGGGCGAACGCCAAGACCCUCCAAGGUUCCCUUGGAGCCAUCCAAGAACAAAGUAUUUAAGCUAAGGAGACAAGACCCCGGCAAGAGGAGCUUGCCGGGAAGGCUAACCAAGGCACUCCAAGGAACUUGCCGCGACGCGCCACACGCUCCGACAAGGAAACAAGGCCCCGGCAAGAGGACCUUGCCGGGAAGACUGACCAAGGUACUUCGAAGCCCGGUGAGCGACAAGCCUCCGGGCCCGACAAGAUAGCAGCAGCGGCAAGGCGCUUGCCGCGGCAGGCGGCCACUCUGCGCCCACGCUCCAGCGCAUCCACCAACGUGUCGCUCUGGGGGCCUCUCCGAACGCGCGUGGUGGGAGGCUGUGCAGCCAGCGAUGCGCAGUGGCAUGCGAAGCUGACAAGAUCGCCAUCAUGGCGAACGGUGGCGCCCUUAACGGUCCUUUUCUGCACUGUUCGGGCGAAUCAGAUGGGCAUUUAAUGCCCUUGUCCCCUGCCGUCAGAGUUAGGUAGGGUGCACUGUACAAGCAACUGUACCAACUACCUCGCUUUUUACGUUUUUACCCUCCUCUGCGUUGCCUCCUGUCGGUGACCCCUUUAGCGUAUAAAAGGAGGCCCAUGCGCAACGUAGAGGGGGUUGGGUUCCGAGGUUCGAUCAUUUCGACUCGUUUGUAAACCAGAAAGAGACCACGCUCUCUCGAGAGCAAGAAGACAAGAUAACAUAGCCAGACAAGCAGCAGUAGGAGUAUUAUCUCUCCGGAGAGCUCCGAAGCUGGGUAAACUGCUCAUGUGCUUCGCCUCGAUCUGCUCUUCGUGCAACCUCCGCCCCCCACCGAACCGAAAGGGGCCCGGUCAGCCGGCCCCAUAGGUGUUCGUGGGUCAGUUUCCCCCGACAGCUCCCCUACUCCACCAUCCAAGGUGCUUGCUCUAACUUGGCAGUGUGAUAUCUGGUUGCAUGUUGCAUAUUGUGUCUAGCUUGUAUUGCUCCUAAUUAGUGUAAACUGCAUCUGCUUAGCUUACACAUGAUAUAUGUGAAUAUGACACGCUUCCCUGUUUAUGGUACAUACUAUAUCUGUCUAUCACACCAUGUUCUUACAUGAAACUACUCUUCUUGUGUAUCCUGCAUCAGUCACAUAUGGUGGGACACCGUUAAGUUGGCAGUGUGAUAUUGGUUUGCGUCUUGAAUAUGAUUUCUAGCAUGUAUUGCUUCUAGUUUGAUGAACGACACCUAUGACGAGACAGUUUUAACUUGGCAGAGUGAUAUUGAUUGCACCUUCCAUAUGGUGUCUUGCAGUGUUUCUAAUUUGUUGAAGUGCCUUUUGCUUAGUUACCACAUCAUAGGUGUGAAUAUGUCAAGCCGUCCAUUUUUUCGUACAUAUUCGAUCCUCGUAUCAAGACUUUGCCUUUCAUCAGAGUAGUGUUCAUCAGUAUCAUGCAUGAAUGAGUUCUGAAGAGCGAAUGAUAUUCCUUUUUCUUGUCGGUAUGACCUCAUAAUGCAAAAUCAAUAAAGCUGAAGGAAAUUGGCAAGGCAUUGGAUGAUGGUGGUCCUUCCGAGCAACUGAAACGGAGGUUCUCUACAGAUUCUACUCCGCCAUCCUCCCAACAAGAUUCGCAGGACAACGAAAGGCUAGACAGUCAACGUAGCUGUGUAGAUGAUGAGGACAUCUCCCCUACUCCACCAUCACAGGUGCUUGCUCUAACUUGGCACUAUUAUAUGUGGUUCCAUGUUGCGUAUGAUGUCUAGCUUGUAUUGCUUCUAACUUUGUUGAAUUGCAUCUACUUACUUUACACAUAAUGCCUGUGAAUAUGACAUGUGUUCCUGUUUCUACAUCAGACUACUAUUCUUGCAUAUCCCGCAUCAGUCACUUAUGAUAAGGCACCUUUAAGUCGCCACUAUGAUAUUGGUUGUGUCUUGCAUAUGAUUUCUAGCAUGUACUGCUUCUAAUUUGUUGAAACGUCAUACAGUUUGAACUUGGCAGAGUGAUAUUGGUUGCAUCUUUCAUAUGGUGUCUAGCUUGCAGUGCAUCUAAUUUGUUGAAAUGCCUUCUGCUUAGUUACCACAUCAUAGGUGUGAAUAUGUCACACCAUCCUGUUUUUCAUACAUAUUCCAUCCUCACAUCAUGUGUUUGCCUUUCAUCCGAGUAGUGUUCGUCAGUAUCAUGCAUGAAUGAGUUCUGAAGAGCGAAUUUUAUUCCUAUUUCUUAUCGGUUUGACUUCACAAUGCAAAAUCAUUACAGCUGAAGGAAAUUAGUCCGACAGUGGAUGAUGGUGGUCCUUCGGAGCAACUCAAACUGGGGGUCUCUACAGAUUCUACUCCGCCAUCCUCCCAACAAGAUUCGCAAGACAACACAAGGCUAGAUAGUCAACGUAGCUGUGUAGAUGAUGAGCACAUCUCCCCUACUCCACCAUCACAGGUGCUUGCUCUAACUUGACACUAUUAUAUGUGGUUGCAUGUUGCGUAUGAUGUCUAGCUUGUAUUGCUUCUAACUUGAAUUGCAUCUACUUACUUUACACAUAAUGCCUGUGAAUAUGACACAUGUUCCUAUUUCUAGAACAUACGUGUACACGAUGAGCACAUCUCCCCUACUCCACCAUCAUAGGUGCUUGCUGUUACCUGGAACUGUUAUACGUGGUUGCAUUUUUCGUAUGAUGUCUAGUUUGUAUUGCUUCUGAUUAUGUUGAAUUGCAUCUGCGUAGCUUACAACUUAUACCUGCAAUGAUCACUUACCCAUAAGACACAUUUAACUUGGGACUAUGAUGUAGGUUGCAUCUUUCAUUGUCUUCUAGCUUGUACUGCUUCUAAUUUCUUGAAAUGGCACUUACGACGAGACACUUUUUACCUGAUAGAGUGAUAUUGGUUGCAUGUUCAUAUGGUGCCUAGCUUUCAUUUCUUCUAAUUUUGUUGAAAUGCCUUCCGCUUACUAUUUUUUCAUACAUAUUCCAUCCUCCUAUCUUAUGUGUGAAUAUGAAACGCUGUCUUUUUUUGUAUAUAUUCCAUCCUCCUGCGCUUGCCUUACAUCAAAGUAGUGUUCGUCUGUAUCAUGCAUCAACCAGUUAUGCAGAGCUAAUUUUAUUCAUCUUCUUGUGGUUUUGACUUCAUAAGGCAAUAUCAGAAAAUAGGAAGGAAAAGAGUAAGUUAGGGGAUGUUGGUGGUACUCCGCACCGACGCAAACAAAGACUCUCUAGAUUUGCCACUUCUACUGCUAAUGAAGUUGAAGUCCCAAGUCUACAUGAUGAGUUCAUCUCCCGCACUCCACCAUCGCAGGUGCUUUCUCUAAGUUGACAGUGUGAUAAUUGGUUUCAUGUUGCAUAUGUUGUCUAGCCUGUAUUUCUUCUAUUUUGAUUAAAUUGCACCUGCUAAGUUUAUAUGUUAUACAUGUGCAUAUGACAUGGGUUUCUAUGUCUAGAAUACACUGCAUCUUUCUAUCAUACCAUGUUCUUACAUCAAAGUACUGCUUUUGUGUAUCCCGCAUCAGUAGCUCAUGAUUGGACGCUUUUAACAUGGCAGUUUGAUAGUGGUUGCAUUGAUUUCUACGUUGUACUACUUCUAAUUUUUUGAAUUGCCACUUAUGACAAGACACUUUUAACUUGGCAGAGUAAUAUUGGUUGCAUCUUUCAUAUGGUGUCUAGCUUGCAUUACUUCUAUUUUAUUGAAAAUCCUUCUGCUUAGUUUGCACAUCGUAGCUGUGAAUAUGUCAUGCCGUCCUGUUUUUCUUACAUAUUCCAUCCUCAUAUGAUUGUCUUACAUCAAAGUAUUGCUUGUCUGUAUCAUGCAUCAAUGAGUUUUGAAGAGUGAUUUUAUUCUUUUGUGUUGUGGGUACAGCUUGACAUGGCAAAGUAAAAAAAGAGCAAGGAAAAUAAUAUUGUAGGGAGUGUUGUUACUCGUCGGGUGAAACGGAAAAGGCUCUGCCGUCGAGAUUCUGCUGGUACUUAUAGUGCAGUAGAAGGUCCAAGUCCACCGGCUAAAUCUACAAACACAGUAUCACCUGCUCCACCAGCUGUAGCAUCCGCUUCAAUUGUACCAGCAUCUCAACCAGUUACUCGUUUGUUUGCUCCCAAACUGGUUAGUUCCCAAGCUGCCUUCACACCUAACACUACUUCCGAAGCACUGUUGACACAACAGAACUUUGCAAGAUCAGAUGAACCGCAUGAUCAUCAACACCAAGACGGUACCUGACCGAGUCAUGUUGCAGUUGCAUGCUCCUUUAUAUGUACUCUCACAGUUUGAUGUACACUAACACUUUCCAUAUUCGUUGUUGAACUAGCACCACGGCGCAAGCGGAAACAGACAUCAGGGAUAAUGCUUGACAGAUUAACAAAAUCUAAAGGAGGAAGAAUGGAGAUCCAUUUUGAGGCAGGUUUAAAAAGGCCACAUAAUGCUACAGAGUCAGCCAAGUUAGUAUCAGAGGCAGCUGUUGCCAUUAGGUGUCAUGCGCGUAUCCUCCCAACGUGGAUCCAGUACAGGAAUGAGAAAGAUAAUACCUAGUUUAACACCUUCCUUGACCAUUUAUCUGUAAGUAAUGUUAUUCAUCGCAAUUAGUAAUAUUGUCUUGCUCUAUCCCAUACUUUCUAGCUUUCUCCUAGUAAGACUCACAUUCUUUUUUCAACAGAUGAGGUUCAAGUUGGAUCCGAAAGAUGAUGCAACUAAACAAGCAUGCAUUCAUGUUUUUCAGUCUCCUCUGCGACAGUAUCGGUACCACCUUAGAAAAUCUCACUUUGAAGGCAAGGCUAACAAUGAAAUCACCCAAACAUCUCCAGUGGAAUAUAUUACAGAUGAAGACUAGACAGCCCUCGUUAAACACUGGUCUGAUCCAAAGUAUCAGGUAGGCUAUAUGUGUUUGAUCAGACCACAUAUUGAACUUGUAUUUAUGUAUGUGCCUUACAAGUGUAUCUUCUUCUAGGCUAACUGUUUGAAGAACAAAACCAACCAAAAGACAACAGGAUCUCGUAGCUAUAUUGCACACUGCGAGCCUCUUGUAAAUAGCUGCUACUUCCUUCUUUUUUUGUGCCAUAUUAUCGUAUCUAUAUUGACUUGUUCCAAAUACAGCGGAAAGCCCGUGCGGACCAAAAAGAACCUGAACCGAAUGCAGUGCAAAUAUUCAAGGAUUGCCACACCAGCAAGAUGAAGGGCAUGAGCACACCAGUUCAAGCCGCUGUUGUAAGUCCUUACUCCUCCUGCCUUGAACUGAUUGGUACUGUGAUGUGUUCAUUUAACUACUUGGUUUGCAGCCAAUCUCAGUUACUCUGUUCACUUUUAUACACAGUUGUCUUAACGUAUCAUUUCACCUUACAUGGUUUAAAAGAGGUGAAGGAUAUUCUUUUGGUCUAAAUCUGUAAUCUAGUUGUUAUGUUCACGUGCGCACACAAUGAUAAAAUAGCCUGUUUGUUUUAUAUCUGUUUUCCCAUGAUAUGAAUGAUGUCAUACUAUGUCCAUCCUACUUUAAACCACGUCUCUUUAUCCUUACAUGUCAACGAAUGUGAGGAAAUAGACAAUACAGUAGGCAUGCUACAUGGACUUAUGUUCCGAAAGUGAUUUUAUUAUGUAGUUGGCACUACAAUUCAUGCUAAUGUAUUACAGUAGUUCACCAAAAUAAUUUAUGUAUAAACGUUUAACCUACUUUGUUUGUUUUUAUCUCAUUAUAAACUCACUGGUACACUAAUCUACAAGUUCAAACUUUCAGGAAGCUAUGGAACAAGUGAUUGAACAGCGACAACCACCUGAAGGUGACGAGGCUACUAUAGGCACAAUGUCACCUCUUGCUGCAGUGCAUCAGUAUCUCUCCACUAACAGUGCAAAAAGCACCUUCCUGCAUAAUUCUGGGUUGGUUGUCAAGGUAACCUCGUCCAAAUCGCCUACUGAACAAAAUCUUUCUGCUAGACAGAGUGAUAUAUCUAUGCUCCAGACACAAGUCCAAUCCCUAAUGGACGUUGUUUCGGAAACAAGAAUAGUGGUUGAGAAAUGCCGUCAAGAUAUGAAUGGUUAUGAAACCAGACUAUCAGACAUUCGCUUCGUUGUUGAAGAGCAAUGGCGGAAAAAAGGUGGAGAUCGUGUUGCUCCAUUAGAUUCUACAGCCUGAAACAUUAGCACUCAGGUCAAAUGAUCUAUGCUUCUAUACAUCUGAUGGUGCUUUUAUCUGGAAGGACUGUAAACUUUAUGCCAACAGGCCUUUUGUUGUAUGAUUGGAAUUUAUUUUGUUGUGAUACAGCAUUUAUGAUGCUGCCACAGGCUGCAGUAAUUAUGACGCUAUUUUUGUAUAGUGUAGGUUUAUCUUAGUAAUGUAUUCGGACGAAAGCUUCGUAGGAGCCCAACCUGCCAACAUUUGUCGGGCCCAUUCUAGUUGGGCUAAAAACAAUUACGGGCCGAAAUUGGCAUGUAGCCCACUAAAAAUAUCUAGGCUUAAAUUAGCAUAAGCUUUCAAAUUUUUCUGGUAGGCAUGUGCCCAUAGUGGGCCUUUAACAGGCCUAAACAUAAUUUGGGCCCUCAGUAAAAGUAGGCCGUUUACAUGUGUAAAUAUGUCGAGCCCUUAAAAACAUGGGCCUUUAAUAGACCGAAAGUAAGAUUGGGCCCUGAUUGUGCCAAAUAACCCACUGGACUUAGCAGGCCGAAAUGGUGGCCCUUUUACGAUGCGGAUAUUUGGCAGGCCGAAAUUUGGACGGGCCGUAAAUGCGCCGACCUAAUACACGGGCCUUUAAUAGGCCAGAAGUUCGGUCGGGAUAGAUUAUCGUCAUUUUUAUAUGGGUCGUUAAUGGGCCCAAUAUGAUAUUGGGCCACAUAUGGCCCAUGGUUUACGUCCGGUGUUUACGGGCCGAAAAUGAUAAUAGGCCGAAAGUGGGCCAAAUCUAUAGUGGGCCUCUAAUAGGCCGAAUGACAGACAUGGCCGAAUGUGACCCAAAUCCUUCACGGUCGUUUAUGGGCCGAAAGUUUUAAUGGCCUAUAAAUGGGCCCAAAUGAAGCCGGACCUUUAACAGGCCGGAAAUACACCGGGCCAUAAUUCAGCUCAAUUACUUAGCGGACUGCUAACGGGCCAGAAGUGACCAUGGGCCGCAUUGAUGACAAGUUUAGACCAGGCCAUUGACGGGCCGAUUUGACAGAGAAUGUUGGGCCUUUAGCUGGAUUGGCCCAUUAUGGUCUGCAGAAUCUUGUGGGCCUUUAGCUGGGACGUCCCAUUGUGGUCCGCAAAAUCUUAUGGGCCUUUAGCUGGGCCGGCCCAUUAUGGUCCGCUAAAUUUUGUGGGCCUUUAGCUGGGCCGGCCCAUUAUGGUCCGCUAAAUCUUAUGGGCCGUCGGUUGGGCCGGCCCAUUUAAACUUUGUGGGCCACUUUUGGGUCGGUCCACGUGUCAACAUAUCAUAGGCCCAUCUCGAUCGUUGGAUGAGUGACACCUAUGCCAACGCGGAGCUAACACGUGGAUCCGUCAGCCAAUGAGAAAUUUACACGUGAAAAAUCGGCAUUGGUCGUGGCUGUUAACGGGUUGUCAGAUCUAAAAUCCGACCCGAUAGCUUAAGGGCGUUCCGUUAUGGUGGAUGCCACGUGUCGGUCACCCUUGACGAAAGCACUUCUGUGACGCGUGAUUUAUCGUCAUGGAAGUGGACACUUUCGUGAUGAUAAUUUUGGUAAUGUCAUGGAACACUUCUAUGACAGCACAGGUAUGACUAUCUUGAUUCUGUCAUAAAUUUGUCAUGGAUGUACAUGCAUGACAAAAAAUGCGACCUACUGUGACAAACACGUAUCGUCACGGAAGUGAAUUUUUUUGUAGUGGCGGCUGGUGCUCGGACUGUUCGAAAUUGAGGUUCGUUGCUGGAGUCGAAGGUUAUGGCCGUAUCGUUCCACGGAUUUAUUGCUGCGACGUGGCAGACUUCGGCGAGGCUGCGGAGUGCUCGCUUGCGCCUGUUGUUUGAGGCGAAAGUCUCGAAGACGGUAAGUACUGUAUUGUUGUUUUCUGCGGGAUGGUGUACUGCGGUAUUGUUGGUGAGAAGGUCCUCGCCGUUGUUGGCCACCUGCCGGAGUAUCCAACAUGCUUUGAGGCUAUGUGUUGGUAUGGUGUCCGGUGUGCUAUGAAUUUUGCACGGCCUAUUGAGCCAUUCUUCCAGUACGGUUCCAUGCCCUGCAAAGGGCUUUGGCUUCUAUGUAAUUCUAUUGGGUGACUUGCGAAAGCGCACCCUGUUAGUUCGGACGAGGGGUUUAGUUAGGGCCGGGGGAUCCCAGAAUUUUGUGUGGGUCUUCUAGGUGCUUUCCAUCGUGCAGUACUUCUGUACUAUGGCCGCCAGGUCGGCAAAGUGUGCUAUGUCACGGCGACUUAUGGCAUUGAGAAUUCCCCUAUCCGUGCAAUUUUUGCAAAAGAAUGAGAUUGCGUCUUCCUCAUGACAGUCCUUAACCUUCCUCAUUACAAGGAGGAAUCUGGCCCAGAAGUGGUGUACUGUCUCUUGGGGCUCUUGUCUGAUAUGGGAAAGAUCGCUUACAUCUGGGUGGGUGGGUGAAAUUAAGUCCACGUCCUGACCCAAUCUGGAACCCAGGGGCGAAGGACCUCCUGAGCUUGGCAGCUCGGGCUCCAAGAUAUUGCCCAAUAUUUGUGGCAUGCUGCCCGAUUUUAAGUUCGGAGUCUGGGCCACGAUCUCCCAUAAACGGGUGUCCGGCUCAGCGAGCUCGGGAGUCCGGAUAUAGUUCAUCCUCAAAACAGAGGAAGAAUUGUUGUUUUUUUCCUCCACCACCACUAUCUGAUGGGUGACCGGCGGAGAGUUAAUCUCCCUUAGGUCGGGUUUAAGCCCGAUCCAAUCAUAAUCCGUUGAUACCCCCAGGGUGGUGAUGCGAUCCAAGAUCUCGUUCAAGGAGGAGAGAUCCAUUGGAUCCAUCUGCUCGGUAAAUUUUGGGCUGACGCGGAGGUUGUUUUUGAUGACCUGCAAUGUCAUCGUCGGCGUGACGGCCGGACGGGCUGUCAUGACGAGAUCGCCCAGCCGAAGAGUUUGGCCUACAUCCAAGGAUCCUCCGGAGGUAAUGUUAUCCUUGAUAAUGAGGUGAGCCAUCAAGCCUUAUCGGGACGACACAGUGGAACUCUCAAUGAAAGCACCAAUGUCGGUGUGAAAACCAGCGUAUCUCGGGUAGGGGGUACCGAACUAAGCGUCUAAGGCUAAUGGUAAUAGGAGGCGGGGGACACGAUGUUUAUCCAGGUUCGGGCCCUCUUGAUGGAGGUAAUACCCUACUUCCUGCUUGAUUGAUCUUGAUGAUAUGAGUAUUACAAGAGUUGAUCUACCACAGAUCAUAGAGGCUAAACCCUAGAAGCUAGCCUAUGAUUAUGAUUGUUGUUGUCCUACGGACUAAACCCUCCGGUUUAUAUAGACACCAGAGGGGGCUAGGGUUAUAGAGAAGGAAAUCUACACGUCCAAAUAUCCAAGCUUGCCUUCCACGCAAAGGAGAAUCCCAUCCGGACAUGGGACGAAGUGUUCAAUCUUGUAUCUUCAUAGUCCAGCAGUCCGGCCAAAGUAUAUAGUCUGGCUGUCCGAGGACCCCUUAAUCCAGGACUGCCUCAACUGGUAGAGUCGAUUGUUGACUAAGUUUCUAUUUUUGAGAAACCUUGUGUACGCAUGAACUUAGUAGCCCACAAGUCAGCCUCCAAAUCUGUAGCAGACAACAUAAAGUCCAUUUGCUAUUUUUUUAUAAUUUGCAGCCCAUUUGCUAAUUCUUAAGUAAUUUAUUACAGCCCAUUUUCUGCCUAGGACCACGGUCAAAAAGUUCAAUCUUAUUUUGCAUAUUUCAGGGAGUCCGAACAUUUUUUAAGAACUUAUUGAUUUGCCAAAAAAUUGUUUUAUUUUUGUAAGCAAAUAAGACGUGGGACAAUUGAGUUGGUUUAAGGAAAAACCAGUGGUAAAAAAAUCAGCGCUGGGUGGGAAAAACAACAAAAAUAAGGGUGUAAAUAUGAAAAGGGAAUUUUAUGUGUUUUCAAUAUAAUGAUACUUGUAUAUGAACUAGUAAAACUAUAGGUAGAGGUUAGAAAACGGAUGUAGGACAUGCGUUUCAAGAGGAAAAUAGAACUGGGUUGUGUGUUUCAUUCAGUAAAAAAACUGCCUACGGAUAUUGUAAGACAAAAUAUAACUAACGCUGGCGGGCCAGAGGCCAGUAGAUACCUGCUGGAUCUUUGUGCCCCGUUGUCAUCAUGGGCUGGGCCUGUUAAAGACAAAACCAAGCCUGGGCAGUCUACAGCCCAGUUGAAACUUGCUCGAACUGAAAAAACAAUAUACAUGCUCAAUAAAUGAGAUAAUUCUGCAAGUACAGGCUGAUAACUGGGAUGCAGCAGGGAUAUUGUUUUUUCAUCGUGAUAAUAAGUGCAUGCACUUGUUUUGAAAAAAAUGGAGAACUGGGAAUUCAAACGACAGGUGCUUAUGCUACCCAUCAAAUAAAACUCAGGAGCCUGAAAAUUCGUUUUGAUACAAAUGAUUCAACUUUAUAUCCACGUCCACCGUCGGCAUGAUGGUUGGAAGCAAAUGCAAGUUCAUACCAAAAUAUCGUUAACAACAAUACCAACUUGCGGACGACAAGGUAGUACAACUACCAAUACCAAACUAACUUAUAAUCUUUUUACUCCUCUCCCUAGUGUUCGUCUGGUACAAUAUCUUGCAGAGGACCAGCUCCUGCUCCUUCUCUUGCUCCAGGUCCCCGAGGUAGUACUGGUGCAUCACCCAGUUGGUCCUCUGCUGGUCGAAGUUCUUGUUGGUGUGCAACACCAGAAGCUUUUUGCUGCCCGUCUGCCGGCCGUUGACCAUCACCGGCAAGUAUCUUGCGACGCGUCCACGUGCCCCUUUUGAACGCCCUGGAAUUGCGCUAGAAGAAAUGCUUCCUUAGGCCACUCAAUGUGAUACCUGCAGUAUUGUCGAAUACAGGUUUCAGUGUACGUAGUUGGCAUUUUCAUAACAUCUUUGGCAUGUUGCAGUCACUUGUUUCACUUUUUAUUAACUAUCAAAUUGUAAUUGCUUCACCAGGUCUGCGUCUAAAAAGAAAAAUAGAGCUAUAAACAAAGGAAUAUGUUUGUGCAAGUAGACGACCGAUCAGUGUCUUACCUGGAAGUUUCUCAGGAUGGGUGUAGCAUAUGUCGUGCUCGCUGUCGAUGGUCGGUAUGAAAAAAUCGAUGAGAGGGUGAGAUCUCGCGCUGUAAGCACUCACUUUGGCCUCAAGGUGCUCGAUCAGCUCCUGAUCCAUGGGAUCGAACUUGACGCCAGCCGGCAGCACCGGCCAAUCCUUAUUCGACUUGCAUCGGUAAUGCCAGUUAUAUGGUACUCAAUGUAUGAUCAAUAGACUGUUUUAAGUGAAUGAUGAAAGAAUUCGAUAGAUAAGUAGUACUCCAAAUCUGAAGUCCGGAAUACCCGAACACGUCUCCGGGAUUCUUGUGUCACCUCACGCGCAGCGUGUUGUCACAUCAAUUCAAUGUGUGCACAUGAUGAAUAUAUUUUCUUGAAACUGGAUAUGAUGAAUAAUUUGACCGACGUAUACUAGUACUGCUACUUUACUACUUACUAGUCGUAUUUAGUGUCACAAUUUAUACAUAGGUUUAACUAACAAGUACGCACUUGAAGCCUCAUUUGCUCGAUUGCUGUUAAAAAUCGUCUUCUUUAGUUCCAAUUUUUUUGCAAUUUUUUUUGUCAAAACGGGGAGUGUAAUAUAUCGUUGGAAAGCUCUUGACAUCCACAUUACAAUCUAAUAAUUUGUUUUUGCAAAAAAAUUAUGAUUUAAGAGCAGUUUUGAACAAACCGUUUUUUUCAAAACCAAAAUCCCGAAUCGUAUUUUGGACUUAGUUUUCAAACGUUUGUCAGAAUUGAGCAAAUGAGAUGGCGUUGGAAAGCUUGUAAAAAUCCGCAUCUUCCAUAUAUCUACUAUUUUUUCAAAUUCUAUAUGAUUUAAAAGUAAUUCGAAAAACAGUGAAAUUCUGGGCGAAAUGUUUUUUCACCGUUUCUUGCAAAUGGUUUGCCGGAUUGACGCAAAUGAUACAGUGUUGGAAUGCUAUGGAAAAUGCACAACUUUUGCAUAUAGAAUUUUUUUUCUAAUUCCUUACGGUUUAAAUACGAAUUCAAAUAUGGUUAAAAUUGGUUUUGAAUGCGGUUUUUUUAAAAGUUUUUCAAAAUGGGGCAAAUAAUAUACCGUUGGAUAGCUAUCGAAAAUGCAAAACUUAGUCAUGUUGGACAUUUUCUCUACUUCGCAACCGUUUAAGAGUAAUCUUCAAUACGGCAUGAUGGAUCCUGCUGUUUUCUCGUCUGAAAAAUAGAGUAGUCGUACUGAUAUAUGUGUAUAUUUGUACGGAGCUAUUUUUUGGAGAGUAAUUUUAAAUUGUUCCGAAAAAAGAUACUUGUACUGAUGCUUGCAUGGGUUUGUACUAAGCGUGUUUUCACUAACUAGACUUUGCUCUGUUUUUGGGUAAUAUUUUUCUCGUAAAUUUUCAACGGUUUACUGUAUCCUAGCCCUGAACUUGCAUGGUUUAUAUUGUUGAACUAAAGGUUAUUGUAUCGUCGGCCCUGUACUUGCAUGGUUUAUAUCAUCGAACUGAAUGAUAUUUUUUUCAAAAAUAAAAUGUUUUUUUAUUCUUUUUUUUGAACUAAACAUUUUUUUACAACGAUCUUCUAGACUUCUCUUAUUUUAUGAUUUGUACCUUUACCAUUUGAAUUGCAUGGGGUUUCCUUUUGCUUGAACUUUUAUAAUUUGAAUUUCUGUCAUUUCUUUUAUUCUGAACGGACCACCGUUUUUAACUUGUACUGAUCAAUAUUUUUAAUUAAACCAAUUUCCUUUGUAGAACGGACCACCGUUUUUGUUUGUACAGAUCAGUUGUAGAACUUGGACGUCAAUGUCACAGAAUUAAUUUGUGAGCUUCUUACGUUUCCUUUUAAAGUUGUUUUUUCCAUCGAACUUUAUUGGCACCAAAUUUUAUUUUCCGUGCCUCUCAAACUGAUGCGAUUUUUUUCGACGAGUACAUACCAAAUUUCUCUGUACUGAUAUGUUUUUAACACACACACAUAUUGAAUUGUUCCCACAUUUCAUUAUGAAUUUAUUAUAUAUAAAAGGUUAACUAUACGACACUUUUUAAAUGAAUCUAACAAGAAUUUUCGCUCGCUAAACUUCCAAAUGUUUUUCCAUUGUAAAUUCAAGUCUGAACAAUUGUAAAUACUUCUAAAUUGAACUGAAAUAAAAUAUAGGAACACUCGAGUCUGAACAGUUGCAAAUAGUUCUAAAUUGAACUUAAAUAAAAUAUAGGAACUGAACUGAGUGUAUUUUCAGAUUUCUGCUAGCAUGCACCAUGACACUUUAGAUAUGUUUUUACAAUAGAACAUAUACUAAUUUUUAUGUCAAGUAACCUCAAACAAAACUAAAGUGGAGCUUCAUUUACAAUAAUAGAAUAGAACAUAUGCUAGUUUCGAUCCAUACAAGGUUUUCUCAAAUGCUUAUUAAGGCAUAACACACAACUCCUGUUGUGCUAUAGGAAGAACACUUAAAGAGGGGAAAUUGGACAUAGAAUCGUUAAGUAGGUGUACAAAAAAGCACACAAAACAUGUACUGAAAAAGAACAAAACAUUCUUAGCGUUGCAUCGGCCUCCUGUGGCAGAGGUGAACGUUCUGAUAGUUGCGUCAUUGCACGGCCUCGUGUGGCGGAGGUGAACGGCUUGUGGUGGUAAGGGGGAACGGCUUGAGUGCUGCAUAUCCAAAAAAUAUUGUUUUAUUUGACAACACGAAAACAUAAAAAGGCCUCCUGUCAUCAUCGAACUGAACCAUGCAACGCCUGUCGAGUUACUGAAAUAUUUUAUAGUAUGGGUUAGAUACAGUUCCAAACUAGUACCUGAAAUCAUCCCCAAAUAUGCAUGUCAAGCUUCAAAGUUGGAAGUAAUAAACACCCAGAUAUGCAUGGGUUUAUAUGAGUAUAGAUGAGCUACGGAAUAAACACUCAGAUAUGAAUUUGCUUCAAGUCAGGUUUGGUUUUUUUUAAUUUGAUGCAUGUUUGCACUAUAGAACUGCUACUGGUUUUCAAGCUGGACUUGAGUACUCCCUCUGUAAAGAAAUAUAAGAACAUUUUAGAUCUCUACUUUACUGAUCUAAACACAUAUUUCCCUUAUUAAUUUUUCCAUAGUUUACUCCCAAAAUCAUCACCACAAAAGAAACACAUAUGCAUUCCAGUGUACCUGUAACGCCCUCGAUGCGGCUAUAUCUCCCACGUGUCGAAGCACGACUUAGAGGCAUAACCGCAUUGAAAGCAAUGUCGCAAGUGAGGUAAUCUUCACACAACCCAUGUAAUACAUAAGGGAAAGAGAUACAUAGUUGGCUUACAAUCGCCACUUCACACAAUUACAUGAGUAAAGCAUUACAUCAUCCAGAUACAAUCAAGGUCCGACUACGGAACCAAAAUAAAAGAAGAACCCCAAAUGCGACAAAGGUCCCCGAUCGACCCCAACUGGGCUUCACUACUGAUCAACUAGAACUAAACAACACAAAGGGCAAGAUCUUCAUCGAGCUCCUCCUUGAGCUUGGUUGCGUCAUCUGCACGGUAACAUAGGCACCUGCAAACUGGUUUUGGAAGUAUCUGUGAGCCACGGGGACUCAUCAAUCUCGCACCCGCAAGAUCAAGACUAUUUAAGCUUAUAGGAAGGAUGGAGUAAUGAGGUGGAGCUGCAGCAAGCGACUAGCAUAUAUGGUGGCUACAAUCGCAAAAGAGAGCGAGAAGAGAGGGCAAAGCACGGUCGAUAAAAGUAUGAUCAAGAAGUGAUCCUAUAGUAACCUCAAGCAUAACUCCAACACCGUGUUCACUUCCCGGACUCCGCCGAGAAGAGACCAUCACGGUUACACACGCGGUUGAUGUAUUUUAAAUAAGGUCAACUUCGGGUUUUCUACAACCGGACGUUAACAAAUUCCCAUCUGCCCAUAACCGCGGGCACGGCUUUCGAAAGAUAAUACCCUGCAGGGGUGUCCCAACUUAGCCCAUCACAAGCUCUCACGGUCAACGAAGGAAUAGACCUCCACCCGAGACGUUCCGAUCAGACUCGGUAUCCCGGUACAACAAGACAUUUCGAUAGGGUAAAACUAAACCAGCAACACCUCCCGAAUGUGCCGACAAAUCCCGAUAGGAGCUGCACAUAUCUCUUUCUCAGGGCACACUCAGAUGAGCAAUCCGUACAACUAAAACCAAACCUCGAGUUUCCCCGAGGGGGCGCUGCACAGGGCUCUAGUUCGGACCAACACUCAGAGGAGCACUGCCCCGGGGGGUUAGAAUAAAGAUGACCCUUGAGUCUGCAGAACCCAAGGGAAGGUGGUAGGUUGUUAGUGCAAAUGGUAAAACCAAUGUUGGGCAUUGCUGGAAGAGCUUUACUUAAGGCGAACUGUCAAGGGGUUCCCAUUAUAGCCCAACCGUGUAAGGAACGCAAAAUCCGAGAACAUAACACCGAUAUGAAGGAAACUAGGGCGGCAAGAGUGGAACAAAACACCAGGCAUAAGGCCGAGCCUUCCACCCUUUACCAAGUAUAUAGAUGCAUUAAUUAAAUAAGAUAUAUUGUGAUAUCCCAACAAGUAAACAUGUUCCAACAAGGAACAACAUCUCCAUGUUCCAACAAGGAACAAACUUCAAUCUUCACCUGCAACUAACAACGCUAUAAGAGGGGCUAAGCAAAGUGGUAACAUAGCCAAUCAACGGUUUGCUAGGACAUGGUGGGUUAGAGGUUUGACAUGGCAAUUUGGGAGGCUGACAAGCAAAUGGUAGGCAUCGUAGCAUUGGCAUAGCAAAAGAGCGAGCAAACUAGCAUAGCAAAGAUAGUGGUGAUUUCGAGGGUAUGAUCAUCUUGCCUGAGAUCCCGCAAGGAAGAAGAACGAAUCCAAGAAGAAGACAAACGGUCGUAGACGACCAAAUCCUCACAACUCCGGAACGAAACCGAAGCUAACGAGAGAAGCAACCCGGAAAGAAACAAACAACAUAGUAAACACACAAGCAUAAACAAGUCAUGAUGCACAAACAAGUAUGAUGCAUGUCCGGUUUAAUGAGGCAUGGCAUGGCAAAGUGCAACAAACAAUACUAGAAGUUAAGUGGAGCUCAAUAUGCAACGAGGUGCAUGUUAACGGAACACCACAUCAAUUAUUUAGUUAUCUCUCGUUUAAGCUACCCAACAAUAUUAACUGUUGUUAAACAUGGCAAGAGGUGAAGCAUAAUAUAAACUAUACCAUCUAAACAAUUUAAAUGGGGCCGGAUAUAAAAACAACAAAUCCGGUAAAUCCCCAUAUGCAUUUAGCAAUUUAAUGCAACAACAAGUUUAAACAUUUUAAAUGUUGUUAUCAUGAUGCGGAUGACAUAUACAAGUUUUAUGCAAUUUUAUGAAAAUGUUGACAAGACCAUUAAGAAGCAUUUGGUCACCAUGGCGGAACAAAAAGGGUGCCACGGCGGCGAAACAAAAAUGGUGCCACGGCAACAUUCCAGUCCCGGUAACUCAUGGAGAUACCGGUGCAAAAGGAGGCGUGCGGAUGUGCGGAACAUGCUAGAGAUGGUGGGGUGAUCCCGGUUACCGGGUUCCCACGGUUCAUCGGCAUGGCGAACGAGGAGGAACGUGCAUGAAGCAAACGGGCACGGUGCAAACAUAGGGUGCAUCUCAUACAACACAUGCAUUCGGUCCACAGACGGCGUCUCGGGGUUAUACCUUCGAAGCGUGCGUUUUCGAAGCGAAUCGGUUCGGAGGGGAAGUAGUCGUUCUCGCGACGGUAGAGGUUCACGUUUCGGAGAGGAACUUGUCGUAUCCAUGUAGUCGUUCACGUGUGACCGUGGUGUAGUCGUACAUGUCAGCGAUAGUGGAACUUGGCGGUCUCGACGGUCAUCGGGGUACUUGUUGGUCCGGUCUUGGCGUCCGCAAUCGUAGUGGUACUUGGCGGUUUCGUGUAGUCGAACUUGACGAUCCAGGUAUGGGUCUUGGCGGUCUUAACGAAUCCAAGGACAGAACCAUGGCGAGGUUCAGCAGCUCCCCCACGUCCAUGAUGAAAAACGAAGCUCGGGCAGGGAGUCGGAGCAGCAAGUGGGGCUCGCUGGGCCUCGGCGCCGGUGCAGGGACUCCGGCAGGCGGGACUUGGCGGCAGCAGCAGGUCCAGGAGGGGUCGCCGGGGCUGGACGGCACGAGGACGACGCCGACGAGCUCCACGGCCACGGCGGACGGCAGAACUGGACGGAUUCGAGGGCAGGGAGACGGCUUGGCGACGCGGGACUUGAGGCGCAGGAGGAUGAUGGCUGCGGGCACGGGUGCUCGAGGAGCUCCUCUCCUCGGGCGCUCGGGCGAAGGGGACGCCAUGGAGACCAGGCGCGAGGUGGAGGGAGCAGCUCCGUCGUGGCGGGGUACGAGGCGAGGACGAGGAAGCCAAGGGGAGGCGUCGCGCACGGGGUGGCCCUCCUGGUGGUCGCCAACGGCGGCGGGUGGCGACGGGCUCCGGCCUGGUGGCUGCUCGGGGAUCCGGCAGGCGGGGCUCGCGCCGCGGCGGCGGCUGAUAGACGAGGAGGCGGGCGAAGUGGGGCUUCGGCUGUGGGGCGCUGCGGGAUGAAGAGGGAGCGAGGAGAAGGGAGAAGACGAGCGCGAGGAGAGGGAGAGAUGGGGAUCGGGCGCAGGAGGUGAGGCGUGCGUGCGGGUGUGGCGGCGGGCAGGGAACGAGAGGGAGAGAGAUGCGGAGGAGGGGGUCGGGCUAGGUUAGGAGGGUUAGGUGGGCUGGGCCUGAGAGGCCGGUUGGGUCGGCCCAGGUGGAGAGGAAAUGGCCAGAGGCCUGGUUGGGCUUACCUCUCUCUUCUCUCUCUCUUAUAUUUACUUUAGCAGAAAAGCAAAAAGAGAGAAGAAAAGAAAAGGAGGGUUAGGGAAAGAAAAAACGCAAGGGGAUAUUUUUCCCGGACUCGCAAAAAUGAGCUUGUUCCAAGAAAAAUAGAAAGGCCAUGAUUGAAAGAUUUAAAUUCAAACUCAUUUGAAUUUAAUUCAAAUGGGUUUGAACGGAAGUGAGGGUUUGGGAAGGUCCAAAAAUGUUUGGAUUUUUGGUGGAGCUCCGGAAAAUGAUGAAAUAAAUAUUGGCAAGGUUGGAGACCAAACUUGAAGCAGAAAAGGAACGAAAUUAUUUGUAAGUGUGUUUUGGUGAUUCCAAAAUAGUGGAAUAUUUAAUAUAGCUCCCUAAUAUUGGAGGAUAUGUUAUAAAGAGAAGUCACCAUGUGAGUCCCUCGAUUUAAAUGGAUCGAAAAAUCCAUACAAUUUAUUUAGUUGAGGUUUUAAAAAUUAAUGAUAUGAUGGCAUGAUGACAUGAUGCAAUGCACAUGAUGCAAGGAUGAAUGCAACAAAUAAAACAAAUCACACGACGAAACUCGGAAUAGCUGGAAGUCUUCUGGAGCGUCGGUCUCGGGGCGUUACAGUACCUGGGCGAUGCAUCGGCUUGUACUGAGGGUGUAGAUUAGAGUGGCUAGAAGAGGAUAUAGUAGCAUGCACACACCACCAUAUAAGUCCAGAACACAUGUAUACAUGCACACAUCUCCAUCUACAAGGAAGGAUAGAUGAGUAAUUGAUAAGAGAAAAAAGGUAUGCUAGAAUGUAAACCUGGAAUUGGAAAAAACAAGUAUCAAAGUUUUUACGGAAAAAUGCCAACGGGUCAGUUCCACAGCUCUUUCAAUUUGCAGGAACUAACAGAAACACUAAUAGAGAAAUAGCAAAGCACCAUCUUUUUGGUAAUACAGGAAAUUAUGAAAACACCAUAACAUGAUUUUUGCUAAUGGGAUAUAUACUGAUGUACUACUACAGGUUUGUUGUCAAACUUUACUUGUUGUUUGGGAUGCACUUCUUUUAUGAAACUUAAAUGAACAGGACUGAAUUGCAACACUAAGAAUUUCAUAGCAUUUUUCAGAAAUUUAGUAUACCUUCAUUUUUGGAAACUGCUUCCUAUUCCUGCUAUUUUUUCAGUUUUUUUUGUAAACUGAGUCUUCUACGUUCCAGUGUUGCAUCUUCCUCUAAAUUCAUCUCUUUCUUCAUAAAUGUUGCAUCCUGUUUUUCGGCAUCCUGCAAAAAAAGGAUCAAAUUUUGAAAGAUUGAGCCAUUGAGGAAGUACAGGGGGUUGCCGGACCUGGAAGAGGAGGUCGUCGCAUGAGCAGCCCCGCCGGAUACAGCUAUGGAGCACGAGGUGGCCUAGACGCGAUUCUUUGAGCGACCAGAGGCGGGGCUAGCAGUUGGACUGUGAACCAUGGAAGAGCUCGAUUUUGUCAAGCACGAACAGGUGAGCGAAGCCCAAACUUAAAGAGGAAGACUAGCUGAACUGAGAAAGUAAAGUGAUUUGUCACGCACAUCCACUGGAACUAAAUAACAACACACACACACACACAGACUGAUGAGUGUACAAUUCAUCAAACUUCUAAACAGUAGGCCUCUAAAUAAAUUCAAUAGAUACUCUUUAACUAUACCUAACAAACUAAGCCAAAGCUCAAUCCUAAAAAAAUACUACAAUCAUUGAGGUUGUGUUAAUUACAUCGUCCUUUACAUACUGAUGUACCACUACUAGUCUACUAAAUUGUUCUUAUAUGCAUCCACUUGUGGAAUUUAAAGUAAGAAGUAUUGGCUGAAACAAAAGAGUACUCAUUUCAAAUAGGGAUUCAUGUUCUUGCGCCUACAUAUUACAAUCUUGAUUUCUUACUGAGGGUGGCCAAGGCGACCAACGGGAACUGUAGUUGGCCGUGCUUGUUCUGGGCAGCAAACUCACACCAGGUGGAAGUGAUCACGGGUAGCAGGGAUCACGGGUGGCCUUCAUCUCGCUACCGGACAUAGGGUGCUCGCGCUCGUGGAUGUCGAGGACGGGAUCGACAGCAAAACAUGACACUGCUGAAAUUAGAUAGCAUUGACAACAAAACAGGACACUAGUGAAAAAAAUCCUCCAGAAAAUGGCCGUUCUCCUAGAUCGAAAUAAGGGUGUACGUGUUUUCAAAAAUAGGGAUAUGGAUUGAACUAAUUUUCUAGGUACGGUGGAACUGAAGGAAAAGAUUUUCAGAAAGGGGAGGUGGAUUGAACUGAAGGCGUUGGUGAGGGCGUUCGAGGACGGGUGGCUGCGGUGGGGUCGCAGGCCACCAUGGAUGACGGUGAACGUCACCGGGCGGACCGCGACGACGGAGGCCGCGUGGUGGAGGGACGAUGCACUGGCAUUUUUUAUUUGAACUAAUCAUUUCUUUUAUUUCGAAUUGAUCAUUGUUUUUAAUUCAUACUGGUCAUUGUUUUUAAUUAAAACAAUUUUUUCCUUUCAAACCAGUAUGUGUGCAUGUGUUGGAAAAGUGAGGUACCAGUCAGUCAGUCAUGUUCAUGAACGGAGGGAUCCUUGCCAUGUCCCGUGUGCUAGGUCUACUCAUUUUACAAAAUGAACCUUUUUAACUGAAUUUAGCUUUACAGAGAGUGCAUGCGAUUUUAUAAAAUUAUGAGAAUGAAUAAAUAUACACACCAAACUGACAACAGAAUACACACCAAACUAAUACUGAGUUUAGUAUAGAAAUUCUCUUUUCAUGCACUGACGAUAUUUUCUUCUCUGUGUACUGGAGAACAAAGAACAAAAAUACACACCGAACUGACGAUACAAUACAUAUUGAAGAAAAGGGAAUUUCUUAUCUUUGAAAUGAUGAUAGAAUACAUAGCGAACGGACAGGAGAACAAUGUCUAUUUGUGUUUUUGCUUUUUUCAUGAAUUGACGAUAUUUUACAAAAAUCAAUGUACUGACAACACUUCUUCAGCUUAGUGCACAAUGUCCAGUAUUAUUUUGUCAGGUUAUUUCAUGGAAGGCACUACAAGAAAUCAGUGGCAAUAAUCAAAUUUCAGUUUUCAGUGGCAAUAGGUGUAGUAAGUGAAGUCGAACUGACCUCGUCCGUGGCGGAGGUGAAUGGCCUCAGGUGACGGAGUUGAACGGCCUGUGCGCUGAGGCGCGGAGGGCGACAUCGGAACAUGGUCCACACAUGGCGCAUUGCCACGAGAAGUGGUCACGUCGCCAGCAGGAGGUGCGGGGAGGCGUGCACCUCUUUGGGAGGAGGUGCGUCACGCCUGGUGACUGUCGAGGUGUCGGGGGUGAAUUAGAGUAGCAACACUUUUGUUUUUGAUUGGCUUGGCACAACAAGAUAUACACCUAGCAAUCUAGGCCAAAUAAAAUCCAUAGAUAACAGAUUGACCAAACCAAAAAUCCAUGUACUGAACUUAUUUAUCUAUACACUUGAUUCCUUUAUGUUUUAUCUUAUAGAGAAAUACUGAAGCAAAAUCUGAACAUGAUCACAUUACCACAAGGAGGUAAAAGACAUGUAAAACCAGUGCUCAAGCAUUGAUGCUUCAUGAUCAAGAAUUGGCGCAAAAUUCAGAGACAAAAAAUCUUGCGAUGAAACUUCAGGAUCAACAAUUGGUCACCUCCUCCAUAACAAAAUUCGUGAAAUAAAGAACAAUUGUGCAAAAGUAGAUCAAAAUGAACCGGAGAGAGUUCUGGGGCGGUGACCACCAUUGUAGUAGGAUACCUCGUUGGCGACCACACGAGAAUGGGGGAUGAGGCAUGGCCUGCAGCAGUACAAGGAGGCAACCUGCAUAAGGAAGAGGUUGUGACCUGACAGCGGAAGAGGCUGCGACCUAACGGCAGAAGAGACCGCGACCUGACGGCGGGGGUUAGGAGGCAAGAAUGAUGGUCGCUUGGACAAUUUUUUCACUAGGUUUGUUUUCAGUAUUAAAAACUAUUUACUACAUUACAAAAAACACCUAAAGAUGCUCCAAACAAACUUCUGAACUUGCAUACAACCCUCUUUGAACUUGCGAUAUGAAACUUUUUGCACUUACACAAGUUGGCAGUGGAAGCAAGCAGCAACCAGAAGCAUACUAUUGUUUUACAGUACUCAAAAGCACACAAAGAUCACAUCCGCAACACAGUGGUGGGCUGAUAUCUAUGGUUUCUUGAUUGUUCCGUGGAUGGAUUCUAGUACUCCCAUAUACUAGUGUAUGUGAAGCAACAACAAAGAUUGGCCUUUUUAUAGAAAAUCAAAAUGGACAGUACUGAAUCUUGCACUUACCAUUAUAAUUUUUGGGAUUCAACUUGUUGUGGAGUUAGAGGGGAAAUCCACACAUGGCAGCACGUUCAGUUGAAAAUAGAGGAGAGCAGAACACAUCCAUAGAAUAUACUCCAAACUCCACACACGAGCGAGACCGGGGGGCUCCUCGUUGAGCGCUGGCCGAGCGGAAGACGCAAAGUUGAACGGCCAAAGCAGAUCAGCCAGGACGAACUCCACAGCUGCACAGGGAGGCUCCCACCCCCGACUGCCGUGCCCCUCCCACCUCCGGCCGCCGCACGCCUCCCACCCCCGGCCGUGACGCAUAACGACAAGUUCAACUUCGUUCAACAAGAAGAAAAUCCAUUUAUACUCAUGUAUACACCCAACAAGCAUCAAAUUCCAUAUACCUAAACUUCCAUUUAUUGAUAUACUUGAACUUAUUUGCUGUUAAUGUACAUAGACUUUGUAAUUAAACAUCAAAACUAAGAGAGAUAGCAGUCAUUGAACUGAACCAAAAUUAGGAAUUGAAUUGGACUAAAUCAAGAAACUGAACCGAGUGUGGCACGAGUUAGUCAAUGUGGAAGAUCAUUCCAUUUUUCCAUCUCUCUCUCUCUCUCUCUCUCUCUCUCUCUCACUCACAUCACCCUGCUGCAGCAACAAAUAGCGGGAGUGCACCAGCGCAAGCAGAAUGGGCUUUAUGCAACUUUUGUCUUAAUUUUUUUGACUGAACUGAGAUUGAAUUUUCACUGAACUCAACUUAAACAUUGCCAGAAAUUAGUUGAACUUUUUGUACUGAACUUAGCUGAACUUUGUACAGGGAUCCACAUUUUACCUGAAAUUUAUUACAUGGAUUUGCAAGGCUGGCCGGUGGUGAAAGCGGGGCGAGCAAAGGCACAGGAGGACCUACUAGAUGUUGUCGCCAUUUCCAUCAUAAUCUAGGAGGAGGAGGAUGAUGGGAGCAAACCUCUAUGGGCGCAAUCGCUCGGGACACGUCAGGAGUGCGGCCGCCGGUGGCAAGGACCGGCCAUCCCUCGCUGAUCGACCACCGUGGCUAGCCUCAUUUAUGAAGUUGGCUCGUCAGGCAGCAGUGGGAUAGUUGUGCGCGAAGACCAGUGACGCUCGGAGGCAGGGGCUAGGCGGCUCCGCACUAGGGUAGGGAGGUCGUGGCUGUGGCCGCUGGGGCAGGGGGCCUGCGGCAGCGCACUGGGAACGGGAGGUCGUUGUGGUGGCGUGCUGGGGCAGGGGGGGCGGCGGCAUGCUGGAGUAGGGGGACGACANNNNNNNNNNNNNNNNNNNNNNNNNNNNNNNNNNNNNNNNNNNNNNNNNNNNNNNNNNNNNNNNNNNNNNNNNNNNNNNNNNNNNNNNNNNNNNNNNNNNNNNNNNNNNNNNNNNNNNNNNNNNNNNNNNNNNNNNNNNNNNNNNNNNNNNNNNNNNNNNNNNNNNNNNNNNNNNNNNNNNNNNNNNNNNNNNNNNNNNNNNNNNNNNNNNNNNNNNNNNNNNNNNNNNNNNNNNNNNNNNNNNNNNNNNNNNNNNNNNNNNNNNNNNNNNNNNNNNNNNNNNNNNNNNNNNNNNNNNNNNNNNNNNNNNNNNNNNNGAUGGUGGGGGAUCGGGUUGGGGAGAUAUAUAUAUAUAUAUAUAUAUAUAUAUAGGGUGGGUCUAUUCUGCUAACACCCUUAAGACUUCUUCUGCUAACAGCAUAAUCUUAUUCUGCUAACACCCCGAGACCCAUCCGCUACAAAACUAACCGCGAGAAGGAACCGAACGAAAUGCAUGGGCAAAGAAAAAAAACACCCCACCUUAUCCUCACCUCAGCCACCCACUCCUCUCUCUCUCCCCCAUGCUCCACCACCGCACCACCUCCCCCACGCCGCCGCACCAACUCCGUCGGCCAUUGCGCUACCUUCCCCGGGUCAGGGCGCCAUUCAACCGAGCCCCCACCACCACUUCGCGCGGCACCGCACCACCUACCUUCCACCGUGCCGCAGCACCACCAACUCCCUCCAUGGCGCCGCCUCCACCACCUCGCGCUCUUCCACAGCCUGCAGCCACGGCGCUGCCCCCUUCCUCCCCAUUGCUCCUGCGCGAGGAGGCGGCGCCCCCAUUCGGCCUACCUACCACCACCUUCCCCCAGCACCUCCCCGGGGACGGAUCUGGGCGGUUCCGGUCCAUCACACCACCAGGCAACGGAUCAAGGAGCACACAUUUGCCUCCUCGUCCCCAUCCCGGACCCCUCCUCUCACGCCGCCGUGGAUACGAGCCACCGACACUAACGGCUCGCGCCCCGCCGUCGUCACCACCAGGGCCGACCGUCAACUCCGACCACGCCCCCGCCAAGCAUCAACCGGAUCUGGCGGGAUCCGGUUCCACCUUACUUGUCCACCCCCUGCCCUCUGGGUAGCUACCCCGACAACUAUGCAUCCGCCCGAGCUCUCAGUGCCUCCCCGGCGGCCAUCCUCUUCCUAUCGGGUCACCUCCCCUGGAUCCCAGAGAGGCUAAGGUGCUAUCCCAGCGUGAUGGCCGCACGGCUUCCCCUCCUCAGAUCCGGUGGUCAUGGCCUCCGCCGUCUCCUGUGCUUCUUCCCACAAUCGUGGCUGAUGAGUAGGACGACGACUCCGGUUCCUCUCUGACUGCUCCAAUGGCAUGCAAGAAGCUCCCCUCCCAUCUCCAUGGGUCGUGUAUGUGUGCAGCUCGUGGGCGUAUUGUGUGAAGCUCGCGUGCGCGUGCAUCUGCAGUACGCAUGCAGCAGUGGAUCCCGGCCCUCCGUCGCUGGAGCAACAAUGGUUAUGGUGGUGCAGUGCACCGCGACUCUACAUGCAUUGCAGUGGGCGUGUGCCCCCUCAAGUACCUUGUAGUAUCGGGGCGUCAGCGAAUUCUUCCCUGUUGACGACUUGCAGCUCUUCGGCGAGUGGCUUGUGGUUCGUGCAGCUUGGGCGUGCAGUCCACUGCUCCGUUCAUCCCUCCCGUGCUCGCCAGCUCAACUCAGUGCACGACAAGCGCGUGCGCAGUCCACUUAUCCCCUGCUCACGGUCCUUUCCCCUACUUCCAAUGUCAACAGGGAAAGAAGACGCUUGAAGUGCUGAAUGACUUGAUAUUUCCGACAGUUUGCAGUGGCGCCUGUAGGUAAGAAGGCGGCAAUGACGACCUGGAAGAGCAGUAUCCACCCAAUUGCCUCGUUUAUCAAUUUUCUUGUUGUUGGAAACUACACUUCAUUACUUCAUUGUAAAAAACUGCAUUUCAUCCCGUUUAUUAAUUUUCUUGUUGUUGGAAACUACACUUCAUUACUUCAUUGUAAAAACUGCAUUUGGUUACGAUGCAGUGCUCUUUGAGAGAAGUUGAAGCCCAUAUCACAAAAAGUAAAGUGCUCUUUGAGAGAAGUUGAAGCCCAUAUCACAAAAAGUAAAGUUGCUUCGGGCUGAAGAUGUUCGCUUGACUGUACUGAGCAGUUCUUUUGUCGAACUAGAUUUUUUUUAUCAUGCUAUGUGCUUUGAGAAAAAAAUGAUGUGUUCCAUUUUAUGGUGAUUACUGGUUUACUUUGUAAAAAAAGAGAAAAGUUAAUUCCCAUGAGAAGUUCACUUCUUUUUCUAAUGCACUUUGUUUCAUUUGUGGCUCUCGAAAACAUGCAUAGAAGAAAAGGAAAAAAA